AACGCACCCUGCACUCUUGGGUAUUCCUGAGAGUAUGUCUGUUUGAGUGUCGUGAAUCUCUCAAAACCCCCUUUUGUUUAAUUACGAAAGAGUUUCGGGCUUUGGAUGAUGACUGUUCGCCGUUUCUAAUGGCUCGGUCGAAAUAUAAGAGCUGAAGCUAACAAUUGUGUUAUUUCAGACUUGCAAUUUGGCGUGAUAAUUAUUUCGCCAAAGAACUCGUUUGUUAACAAUCGUUAAGCGGGCUUAUAAACCACAUCUAUAACAUUAGACCUCAAAUCAGGCAGGACUACCCGCUGAACUUAA
rnacentral:misc_RNA from 2 species